AACGAACGCUGGCGGCAUGCCUAACACAUGCAAGUCGAACGAGACCUUCGGGUCUAGUGGCGCACGGGUGCGUAACGCGUGGGAACCUGCCCUUAGGUUCGGAAUAACUCCCCGAAAGGGGUGCUAAUACCGGAUAAUGUCUUCGGACCAAAGGUUUAUCGCCUUUGGAUGGGCCCGCGUUGGAUUAGCUAGUUGGUAGGGUAAAAGCCUACCACGGCGACGAUGCAUAGCUGGUCUGAGAGGAUGAUCAGACACACUGGGACUGAGACACGGCCCAGACUACUGCGGGAUGCAGCAGUGGGGAAUAUUGGACAAUGGGCGAAAGCCUGAUCCAGCAAUGACGCGUGAGUGAUGAAGGCCUUAGGGUUGUAAAGCUCUUUUACCCGGGAUGAUAAUGACAGUACCGGGAGAAUAAGCUCCGGCUAACUCCGUG
rnacentral:rRNA from 1 species